GUCAAAGCGUUCAUUAAAGUCGAGUUGGCUUAGGGAUACGUUCGUUGGGUAGGGGAGCGUUCUGUAAGCCUGUGAAGGUGUGUCGUGAGGCAUGCUGGAGGUAUCAGAAGUGCGAAUGCUGACAUAAGUAACGAUAAAGCGGGUGAAAAGCCCGCUCGCCGGAAGACCAAGGGUUCCUGUCCAACGUUAAUCGGGGCAGGGUGAGUCGACCCCUAAGGCGAGGCCGAAAGGCGUAGUCGAUGGGAAACGGGUUAAUAUUCCCGUACUUGGUGUUACUGCGAAGGGGGGACGGAGAAGGCUAUGUUGGCCGGGCGACGGUUGUCCCGGUUUAAGCGUGUAGGUGUGUGUUCCAGGUAAAUCCGGUUCACUUUAACACUGAGGCGUGACGACGAGGCACUACGGUG
rnacentral:rRNA from 1 species